GCGCCUGUGAGGCCGGGGCCGGCGGCUGAACGGCUUGGAACCCGAAACGCCUCGGCUUUCCUGCGGACCCGCGCGCGGCCGCUGCCCCCGGACGCUUGAGAAGAGGCAGAGUCUCGCUUUGUUGUCCAGGCUGGUCUUGAACUCCUGAGCUCAAGUGAUCCUCCCGCCUUGGCCUCCCAGAGUGCUGAGAUUACAGAGAGAGAAUGCUAAUGAGCUGUGAAAUGACCAAAGAUCUGGCAGCAGAAGGGAAGAGAAAAAAUAACGGUGGAUACCAAGGUGUGGGAUUACUGAGUCAAACGAUAGGCGCAUCCAAAGUGCGAAGGACUACUGCCCAAUGUGUUCUCCAAAAAGGUUGGCCAGUUUAUAUUCCCAGGAAUAUGAAUAUUUUCUGUCCACAAUUGGUUGAAUCUGUGGAUGUGGAAACUGCAGAUACAGAUGAAGAGCCGACUAUACUAGCUUUUUGUUUUCUUUUUCACUUCUGGUGUGUGUGUAUGUGUGUGGGUGUGUGUGUGUGUUUUAUUAAUCUCUUUGCCUGCAUAUUAGUUUCUUUCUCUUUAUUUGGAUUUUCACUAACAUUCUUUUCAGCUUCUUUAGUUGGAUACUUGUUGCCAAUAUACUUUUUUCAUUAUAAGAAUUAAAUAAACCACCAUACCCAGCCUUUAUAUAUAUCAUCUUUCCCUUAGUUUCUAAGGCUCAAAGUCAUACCCUUCCUUGAUUCCUCAUAUUUUCUCCAGAGUCAGUUAAUUAUACAUCCUAUCAAUCCUCUUUCCUGUAAUUUCCUCUUUUUGCCAUUACAUGGCUCACACACCUGCUAUGAUCCCUUAUUAUUUCUUCUUUUGGAGCAUUUUAGUAUUCUUCCAGAGAAGCAGGACAGUUAAAUGUGGCAAUAUUUUGACUCAUUUGUUUUCAAAAUUUGUGAUUUGGAUUCUUCCCCCAUCCCCUGCCCCAAUAACAAAACUUACCUUAUACACAGUCACAGCUUUCUUUGCUGCCCACUCUCUGAUACUAAGGAGGAAGAAUUCUUUGAUGAAUGAGCAAAGUUUCAAGACUUUGUGUCUUCUGGGUAAUGGGUAUAUUCCAGAAGGGCUAAAUGGAUUUACAUUAGAAGAGCAAGAAACUGUUCAAAAGCAAAGAAUUUAAUAGAGCUGAAACCUAAAGGAUGAGUAGGGACUCUCAGGGCAACCCAGAGAAAGAUGGAGUUGUAUUCCAGACAGAGGGGUGGUAUGGUUUGGAUCUGUGUCCCCACCAAAUCUCAUGUCGAAUUGUAAUCUCCAGUGUUGGAGGUGGGGCCUGGCAGGAAGUGACAAGAUCAUGGGGACGGAUUUCUCAUGAAUGGUUUAGCACUAUCCUGUUGGUGCUGUUCUCAUGAUAGUGAGUUCUUGCAAGAUCUGGUUGUUUCAAAGUACGUGGCACUUCCCCCCUUUCCUCUCUCUCUUGCCCUCAUUCUAGCCAUGUGAGAUGGCUGCUUCCUCUUCACCUUCCACCAUGGUUGUAAGUUUCCUGAGGCCUCCCCAGUAACCAAGCAAAUAACAGCAUCAUGCUUCCUGUACAGCAUGAGGAACUGUGAGCUAGUUAAACCUCUUUUGUUUUUAAAUUACCCUGUCUCAGGUAUUUCUUUCUAGCAGUGUGAGAAUGGACAAUACAAGGGGGAAGCACAAGCAAAGACAGAAGGAAAAUACAACAGGGUGCCUGUGAGUGUGUGUGUGCAUUUGUGUGUGUAUGUGGUGGAGUCUACAAAGAGUCACUGUGAGCCAGGGAGUGGGCAGUGCUGAGAAUGGACAGAAAAGAUUCAUGUGCCAAGUUGAGAAAUAUAAUUUGGGGAGUCACAGAACUAUUGUUAAGUGAAAGGUGAGAUCACAUGGCCACAUUAGUUGCCACGUUUCUAGCUUUGGAUGGCAUCUUUCACCAAGCAGGACUCAAUGGGGAGGAAGCAGGGGGUAUGGGUUGAGGGUUCUGAUGAGACUGCGACUGCUACUCUUUCCUGCUUCAUUAGUGUUGUUUGUGACACCCAGAAGAGCUGAAGGGGGCAUCUUUGUGGGGAUGGAGUAAAAGGGCAGCCCUCAGAAAGGGGGUUCCUGGGAUAGUCAAAAUGUGUUUACCAGGAAGGGAGGCAGAAUUAAGGAACUGGCAACAUAGCUGGGAAGUUGACUGCAUGGGUUGUCAUAUCUAAAAGAGAUUUCAAAGAUGGAAACAUUAGCAUGGGCGAAGUUGAGAUCUCAGCCCCCUCAUUUUACUGUUCCCCUACUUGUGAAAUUCCUUUUAGUUCUUCAGGGCCCAUCUGAAAUGCCAGCUUCUCUCUGAAGGUUUUCCUUUAGACCCUGGCUGGAAGAUACCUCUUUCUCUUUGGAAACUCUAUAAUUCGUGGUUUGCAAGUAUUUUAUGGCUUUGAAUUUCCACUUAUGUGUAAGAUCCCCGAAGAUUGUUUUGCUUAUCUUUGUAUCUUCUCCACCACCUGAGACUCUCUGUUCUGUGUAGGAUCUCUACUGAAGAAAUCAUAAUGAACUGAAUCUGCACUUUCGCAGGGAAAGUACGUGCUACAGGAUUUAAUAAAUAUGAAUCUUAAUGAAAUAGCUCAA
ensembl:lncRNA